rnacentral:rRNA from 1 species
GCAGGCCUAACACAUGCAAGUCGAACGGCAGCACAGGAGAGCUUGCUCUCUGGGUGGCGAGUGGCGGACGGGUGAGGAAUACAUCGGAAUCUACUUUUUCGUGGGGGAUAACGUAGGGAAACUUACGCUAGUACCGCAUACGACCUACGGGUGAAAGCAGGGGAUCUUCGGACCUUGCGCGAUUGAAUGAGCCGAUGUCGGAUUAGCUAGUUUGGCGGGGUAAAGGGCCCACCAAGGGCGACGAUCCGUAGCUGGGUCUGAGAGGGAUGAUCACCCACACUGGGAACUGAAAACACCGGUCCAGACUCCUACCGGAAGGCAGCAUUGGGGGAAAUUGGACAAUGGGCGCAGCCUGAUCCAGCCAUACCGGGGGGGUGAAGAAGGCCUUUCGGGUUGUAAGCCCUUUUUGUUGGAAAAAAUCCACUGGUAAAACCCGGUUGGAAUACGGUACCCAAAAAAAAGCCCGGGUAAUUUCGGCCACCGCCCGGGGAAUAACAAAGGGGGAACGUUUUUCGAAAUUCGGGGGUAAGGGGGGAGGGGGCCUUUAACCCUUGGAAGCCCGGGCCACCCGGGAAUGAAGGAAAUGGGCAAAAAAAGGGGAAAGGGAAGGAAUUUUUGGGAACAUUAAUGGGAAAAUGAGGGAAUUCCGGGGAAGGGCUUCGGGAAAAUUGUCGGGGCCAAGGGGGGGGCAAAGGAUAAACCCUGGGCCC